UUGCGGCGAUAUCACGUUGAAACAUCGGUACCCGUAUGAUCACCGGAGUUAAGCAACGUCGAGUUUGGUCAGCACCUAGAUGAAUGACCGCUUGGGAAUACGAAUUGCUGUAA